CCUCGCCGUGAGCGCUGCCAGCCAGACGGCCGUCUUGAGAACUUGGUUGGUUCGUUUUGGAUCCGAGCGAGCAAAGCGACGCCAUUUCAAGGGUCGAUUUAAUCAACGAAGACAAGACUUUGAAAACCGAGUCGCUGAUAAAUACAUCAUGGCUGAUAUCAAGACUUCAACAAAUCCUCCAAAGACCAAAAUCUUUGUGGGUCGCCUUCCCGAGAAUGCCCAGGCCCCAGACUUGCGUCGGUUGUUUGAGCAGUACGGCACUGUGACGGAAUGUGACAUUCUAAACAGAUAUGGAUUUGUCCACAUGAAGACAGAGGAACAGGCAACUCGUGCAAUUGAAAACCUGCACAACUGUAACUUUAUGGGCUCACUCAUUAGUGUUGAGGCAUCUACAGGCAAGAGAGGCGGCCGAGACGGACCCGGUGGACCUGGUCCAAGGCGAGGGGGUUUUGGAGGCCGAGGAGGACGUGGAGGCUUUGGUCCCAUGCGUGGUGGCAUGGGAUAUGGAAUGGGCCGUGCUGGUCCUUAUGAUAGGGCAGGACCUUACAGUCGCCCUGAUGGUUAUGGCCGCCCUGAUGCCUACGGCCGUCCUGAGCCCUAUGGUCGUCCUGACUUUGACCGAAGGCCUGUUGGGCCUGGACCUGCUGGACCGGGACCAGUGCCUGCUGGACCAGGCCCCGUACCCCCAGCAGGAGCCCCCAUGGGUGCCAUGAGGAAUGGUUACUAUGAUGACCGCAGGGAUGCUGCAUACAUGGACCGGUCAGGUGCUGACUACAUGGACCGAAGAGACCGAGGCGAUGCUGCCUAUGGAAUGGGUAUGGCUCGCAUGGACAACUAUGACAGAGGAUAUGGUGACUAUGCUGCACGUGCAGUUCCUCUGCCAAACAGUGACAUGUAUGGUGCUGGAGCAUAUAGAGAAGCUGACCGCAGUGCUUAUGCUGACAUGAGACAGCCUUAUGAGCGACGAGACAUGGUGCCUCGUGAAAUGCCAGCUGCUCGUGAUGCCUAUGAUCGCACAGCCAUGGCUGCUCAAAACUUUGACAGACGUGACUAUGGCGCCGCCCGAAUGGCUGGAGCUUCAGAUAUGUUUAGCCGCAGAACCCCACCUCCCCAGCCUGCCUACAGCACAGGUUAACAAUCAAGACCUGUUCCCUUGAGGAAAACGCCAUGUGACCACAUGGACAUCCCUGGCUCUAGAUUUCCAAUGCUACCCUGAUAUGCAGCCGCGACGAUACUAAGCGUCUCGAUGAUUGCGUGCGACGCUGGCAAGGCUGGCAAGAUUGUCUGCCUGGCAGGCGUAGGUGCGAGAAUCGGGAAUCGAGAAUCGGCACUCACCGUGGACAGCGAAUCUUGUGCCAGGAUAUCUUUCUUUGUUUAUUUCGAAUGUAAGGUGUUUUCUUAGAUAUGCUUUAUUUAUAUUGAAGACAUUUGCAUUUAGUUCGUGAACUUGCGAUUGGAGAAACUGGCGCAGCUAUGUCAUACCUUGGGUGAACUGCGAAUCCCUCUCUGCGAUUUAUAAAUGCGUCUAUAAACAAUUGCGUUAGCAUGAAUAUUGAUUGUCCCCUAUGUAAAGUUUAUCAACAGUUCAAUCAUAUGAUGUAUUAUUUUUUUAUUGACUUGACAAGAGAAUUUGGCUACAAAGAAUUUCCUUCAAUUAAAGUUUAGGGUUAGUAAACAAAACUGCAUUCAGCAAUCCGUGUGCAUUGCUUAGCAGAAAUGAACUUUGCUUUCUUUGCGAUCCGUCUCACUAAUCAUUUUGUAUCCCAGCAUCAUUAGUUUUUGCGUAGGCUGUCUUCCACGCAUUGUAUGUAAAGCUUGUUUUUCUUGUAAUUCGUUAGAGCCGUAUAAUAAACAAUUCUUUUGUAA